GGUUGGCCUAGUGGUUAGGGCGUCUACCUCUGAUGCUGGAGGUUGCGGGUUCGAAGCCCGGUCAAGUCA